AACCCGCCAUCGAAUGAGGCAAGACUACCCGCUGAACUUAAGCAUAUCACUAAGCGGAGGAGAAGAAACUAACCAGGAUGCCCCUAGUAAUGGCGAAUGAAGCGGGCUGAGCUCACGCUGCCAAUCUGGAGGCCUCGCGUAUGCAGCGCCCCCCGAAUUGUGGUCUAGAGAGGCGUUAUCGGCCGCGCCCGCUGCUCAAGUCCCUUGGAACAGGGUGUCGGAGAGGGUGAGAAUCCCGUACCGUGGCGGGUUGCGGCCUUACGAUGCGUCCUCGUCGAGUCGGGUUGCUUGGGAUUGCAGCUUGAAUUGGGUGGUAAAUUCCAUCUAAAGCUAAAUACUGGCGAGAGACCGAUAGCGAACAAGUACCGUGAGGGAAAGAUGCAAAGAACUUUGAAAAGAGAGUCAAAGAGUGCUUGAAAUCGGUAGGAGGAAACCCGGAUGGGCCCGGCUUCGGCGCGCCGACUCAGCCUGGGGUUCUCCCCAGGUGCACUUCUGCGCGCCGGGUCAGCCGCGCCUCGGCGCCGCGCCUCAACCCGGGAGCGGGGCUUUACGGCCAGCUCCCGUCCUGGCGCGGCCCGGGGCCCGGCUGACGGAACGGGCCCCUCCGACCCGUCUAGAAACACGGACCAAGGAGUCUGACACGUGUGCGAGUACCCGGGUGGCAAGCCCGCGUGCGGAAUGAAAGUGAAGGGCAUGCCCUGCCAACCGACCUUGACCUGCUGUGAGGGGUUUGAGUGGAGCACACCUGUCGGGACCCGAAAGAUGGUGAACUAUGCCUGGGUAGGGUGAAGCCAGAGGAAACUCUGGUGGAGGCUCGUAGCGAUACUGACGUGCAAAUCGUUCGUCGAAUCUGGGUAUAGGGGCGAAAGACUAAUCGAACCAUCUAGUAGCUGGUUCCCUCCGAAGUUUCCCUCAGGAUAGCUUGAACGCAACGGUUUUGUCAGGUAAAGCGAAUGAUUAGAGGCCUGUGGGCUGAAACAGCUUGCACCUAUUCUCAAACUUUAAAUGGGCAAGAGGCCCGGGAUGCUUGAGUGAUCCCGGGCGGCGAACGGCGCGUUCAAAGUGGGCCAUUUUUGGUAAGCAGAACUGGCGAUGCGGGAUGAACCGAACGCCGCGCUAAGGUACCCAAGUGUCCGCUCAUCAGAUACCACAAAAGGCGUUGGUACCUCCAGACAGCAGGACGGUGGCCAUGGAAGUCGGAACCCGCUAAGGAGUGUGUAACAACUCACCUGCCGAAGGUACUAGCCCUGAAAAUGGAUGGCGCUCAAGCGGACCACCGAUGCGCGGCCGCCGGCGCGAGCGCGAGGCGCCGGCGAGUAGGAGGGCGCGGGGCUCGCGGCGCAGCCUUGGGCGCGAGCCUGGGUGAAGCGGGCCCCGGUGCAGAUCUUGGUGGUAGUAGCAAAUAUUCAAAUGAGAACUUUGAAGACUGAAGUGGAGAAAGGUUCCGUGUGAACAGCAGUUGGACACGGGUGAGCCGACCCUAAGAGACAGGAAAACUCCGCCGAACGCGGCUGGUUCUGUCAGCCCGUCCGUCGAAAGGGAAUCGGGUUAAUAUUCCCGAGCCAGCGCGUGGAUGGUGGGCGGCGACGCGAACGAACCCGGAGACGCCGGCGGGAGCCCUGGGAAGAGUUCUCUUUUCUUCUUAACUGCCUCCUGCCCUGGAAUCGGUUUAGCCGGAGCGAGGGCUACACGGCAGGCAAAGCACCCUAAGUCUUGGGGUGUCCGGCGCGCUCCCGACGGCCCGUGAAAAUCCGGGGGAGCGGUUCGUUCUCACGCCUGGUCGUACUCAUAACCGCAUCAGGUCUCCAAGGUGAACAGCCUCUAGUCGAUAGAGCAAUGUAGGUAAGGGAAGUCGGCAAAAUGGUUCCGCAACCUCGGGAGAAGGAAUGGCUCUGAAGGCUGGGCGCAGGGGUCCUAGGCUCGAGGCCGGCUGGCUGCGCGGGGACUACGGCCUCACGGCUGCGGAUCCCGCGCGGCCGUCCGGCGGACGGCCUAGGAGCGCUCCGGCUCUCCCUGCGCGACGAACAGCCGCUUCAGAACUGGCGCGGACAAGGGGAAUCCGACUGUUUAAUUAAAACAAAGCAUUGCGAUGGCCCGCGAGGGUGCUGACGCAAUGUGAUUUCUGCCCAGUGCUCUGAAUGUCAAAGUGAAGAAAUUCAACCAAGCGCGGGUAAACGGCGGGAGUAACUAUGACUCUCUUAAGGUAGCCAAAUGCCUCGUCAUCCAAUUAGUGACGCGCAUGAAUGGAUUCGUGAGAUUCCCACUGUCCCUAUCUACUGUCUAGCGAAACCACAGCCAAGGGAACGGGCUUGGAAGAAUCAGCGGGGAAAGAAGACCCUGUUGAGCUUGACUCUAGUCUGUUACUGUGGAACGACUUGAUGGGUGUAGAAUAUGCGGGAGGGGCAACCCGACAGUGAAAUACCGCAACCGUCAACGUUGUUUUACUUACUCGGUGGCGCGGAGGGAGGCUCGCCUCACUUCUGGAUCCAAGCCGCUUCGUGCGCGCGAUCCGCGUCGGGGACACUAACAGGUGGGGAGUUUGGCUGGGGCGGCACGUCUGUUAAAAAAUAACGCAGGCGCCCGAUUUUGAGCUCAAUGAGAACAGAAAUCUCAUGUGGACCGAAAGGGGAAAAGCUCGGUUGAUUUUGAUUUUCAGUACGAAUACAAACCGCGAAAGCGUGGCCUAUCGAUCCUCUCGUCUUUGGGAAUUUCAAGCUAGAGGUGUCAGAAAAGUUACCACAGGGAUAACUGGCUUGUGGCUGCCAAGCGUUCAUAGCGACGUAGCUUUUUGAUCCUUCGAUGUCGGCUCUUCCUAUCACUGCCUCGCAGCGGGGGCCAAAUGCAGGAUUGUUCACCCACCAACAGGGAACGUGAGCUGGGUUUAGACCGUCGUGAGACAGGUUAGUUUUACCCUACUGCUGUCUGUUUUUCUACGGUAAUUUGGUUCAGUACGAGAGGAACCACCAAUUCGCAUCAUCGGUAUAGCCGCCGCCGGAAACGGCGAUGCGGCGAAGCUGCCAUGCGCCGGAUUAUAACUGAACGCCUCUAAGUUAGAAUCCAUGCCGGAAGGAAAGCCACCUACCGGCCCGGGGACGCCACGAGCAACGGUAGCACUGCCUGAGCCGCGAGCGACCACAAUUCACGGACCCGGGCCGACGAAUCCCUUGCAGACGACUUGAAUAAGGAACAGGGUAUUGUACGCGGCAGAGUGGCCUUGUUGCCACGAUCCGCUGAG
rnacentral:rRNA from 1 species